UCUCCGCCCAUCUCCGCCCAUGUGCAGCCAAUCCAAAGGUACUUAGUGAAUUGAAUAAAUUGUAUUCAAGAAGUUUAACUUCCUCCUACACUACUGAUUUUAAUCCUACCAAAUUUCCCAUUUCCAUUUGGAAUACUUCUAAUACAAUGUCUUGGCAUUAAAAUUAAACCCCUUUUUUUGUUGAACUAGGACCACCGGACCCCAAAUUCCAAUUCGAUCCAUUUUGGAUCUCCUAUGUUAUUCAUGUCAGUCAUAGUAGAUCUGGUUAAUUGGUUUGCAUUUUCAUACAAUUUGUAUUGAUGAUGUUUAGUUGGAAUUUGGUAUUGGUCUCCUUCUAGGUGGACCCUCCUCGUUGUGAAAUUCAUGGUGUAUACUAUGAGGUUAUUCCGCGUUGUCCUCAUGAUGGUCUACCUGAAAUCGUAUUUCACGGGACUUUAAGUGGAAAAAUUCAUGCGUCGCUAUUCAUGGGGUUAGGGUCCUUAGCAUAUAGAAUGAACCACCAACACCUAAAUUUCAGGGUUAAAACAAACCUAAAACGUAGGUGGUUGCUAUCAAAACGGCGCCUCACUAGAUAGAACCUAUAUUCUAGUUUAACUCUUGGCACAAUAAAUAACGGGCUAUGACUCAGUAGGUUACGCA
rnacentral:lncRNA from 1 species